CCUACGGGAGGCAGCAGUGAGGAAUAUUGGUCAAUGGGCGCGAGCCUGAACCAGCCAAGUAGCGUGAAGGAUGACUGCCCUACGGGUUGUAAACUUCUUUUAUAAAGGAAUAAAGUGAGGCACGUGUGCCUUUUUGUAUGUACUUUAUGAAUAAGGAUCGGCUAAGUCCGUGCCAGCAGCCGCGGUAAUACGGGGGAUCCGAGCGUUAUCCGGAUUUAUUGGGGUUAAAGGGAGCGUAGAUGGGUUGUUAAGUUAGUUGUGAAAGAUUGCGGCUCAACCGUAAAAUUGCAAUUGAUACUGGCAGCCUUGAGUACAGUUGAGGUAGGCGGAAUGCGUGGUGUAGCGGUGAAAUGCUUAGAUAUCACGAAGAACUCCGAUUGCGAAGGCAGCUUACUAAACUGCCACUGACAUUGAUGCUCGAAAGUGUGGGUAUCAAACAGGAUUAGAUACCCGAGUAGUC
rnacentral:rRNA from 1 species